UUAAGCACUACAAGUUUGAAUAACUUCUGUAACACAGAUUUCUCAUGAAUAUUUGCAUUUUCUUUCAGGGUACAGAGCUAUACCACAUUUUCCAGUCUUUCUGGCAAUGAGGAGUGGUCAGGCCCUGACUUCUGCAUUCCUGCUUCCUACCCACCACUCAAAUUGAGGAAGCUUUUGAAAAGAGUCCAGAUGCAGGUUCACAGAACAUGUGUAGAGGACAUAAAGCCACAGACACACAGGGAAGAUCAUAUGAAGACCACAGGAAGACUGGCCAGCUGCAAGCCAAGAAGCCAGGCCUUGGAAGAAACCAAACUUUCCAACACUUUGAUCUUGGAUUUCCAGGCACAGAAUUGUGAGAAGAUGCCUUUCUGUUGUUUAAGCCACCAAGCCGUAGUACUUUGCUAUGGCAGUCAUGGAAAAAUACUACACAUAGCAUUCCAAGUACAACUAAGGAAAAGUCAAACAACAAAUUCACAGAAAACAACCAAAAUUCUGGUGCUGCCACUAAGAAGGGCUAGUAUGUUGUUGACAUUUAUAACCUUGCGUAGAGCACUUGUCUGCAUUUCCAGAUGCACUGCAAAGCUACAUUCCACCUUAAUGUAGCUACUCUGUGGUCAAAGAAUGUAUACAAGAGGGAGAGUGUGAGUUAUCCAAACUAGGGCAGCAAUCCUCCAACUGCACAUCAUACAACUCACUCAACUUGUCCUAUCAAAGAACCUGUCAGUAUUCUCUAGUUGUCUUUACCUACCCUCAGAUACAUUCAGAGCCCCCAUGAGACUGCAAGAUGUCUGAAGGCCAGUGUCGUGUCUAUCUUGUUCAUCAUUACACAGUCCUAGACCAGUGGUUGGUCCAAGUAGAUCCUCAUCUGUAUCACAAGUGAAUCGAUUAGUGUAAAAUCACAGUCUGUGCUUCACUGUGAGAGUAUCAGAGUGUCAUCAAAGCAGGAGUUCUUAACUAUUUUUGUGCCACAGACUCUUUGUCAGUCUAAUAAGUCCCACAGCCUCCUUCUCAAGAUAGUGUAUUAAGUGCACGAAUGAGGACAUAGGACUUAAAAAAAAAAAACUGUUUAUAGUAAAAUACUUUCCCAACAUUAAAAAACAAUUUCAUGAAUUUUUGAUAUAAUAAUACGUGCACUUCUUUAUUAACACAUUAGUACUAGUGUGUUAAUACUACCCUUAUACAACCAUUAAUAUUGCCAAUAACUACUAUAAUUUUAAAGUAGCAAUGAUAAAAGAUGAGUGAUAGUUUGAGAUAUUUGUCACUACUAAAAUAUGUUAUGGAUAUAUCUGUGAUCUUUGUUGGUGACUAAGUGGAGGGCACUGAUAAUUCUACUAUGGUGUAUUGCCCAUAUCCAUAACUGAAGGAAUUGCUCAAUAUACUAACUUUCUUAGAGUUAGAAACAAUGAACAUGUCAAUCAUUCAAGUUCAUGGCCCCUCUGGAUUCUAGGUGGUUCCAAAUACCUAGUUUUGAUCACCUGCUUGUAAAGGAAAGACACAGCAUCUGAAAGGUGGCCCUGUAGAAUUGGGUCAGAAAAGAGGUCCUUCCAGGGAGCCCAGACGCAGGAGGGGCAGAGCUGCACAAUAUCGAUGAGCCUGGGUGUUCAUCUUUAUUUUGUUUCUAACUAGUGUGACUUUGAACAAUGUUUGUCUUCAUCCAUAAAGGAGGAUUGCAGCAACAAGAACAACAUCAUAGAAGUAAUCAAACAGGUAUUUCAGUUGUCACCUCCUCUUCAAGAUUAGUGCAUGAGCAAUUCUAAAAGUGACUUACAAAACCCCUGGUUAGGGACCAAAGGAUUUUAUUAAGGGAAUCCAAAAUAUGUAUCUUAGACCAUGUGUUUGGAAGACAGCAUCUGAAACGCUGAAGCUCUUUCUUGAUUUUCCUCCACUCAUGUGGUCCCAAUAAGAAGAAACAAUUUUAAUAUCAUGGUAAACUUUCCCCAACUCAUUUUCUUUGCAUUCUCUGAGGUGAAUAAACAGGGAAGUAAAAUGUAGCUACUCUGGUCAAAGAAUGUAUAGGAGAGGAAGAGUGUGAAUUAUCCAAACUUAGGCAAUAGUCCUUCAACUGCCCACCAUACAUAUCCACAUACACUGAUCUUUAAGGUAAAACAAAACAAAACUUAUAGUUCAACUGAGAUCAGGAAAAACAAAAUGAAUGGGAAUUCCUGGAUAAAAGUCUAAUACUUGAAAACAUACUAAUCCCUACUUGUUCUCUUUUCAUUCUUCCAGUCAUAAAAUUACUUUUCAAUGAGCAAACACACUUAAGUUUAUGUACUUAGAGGAUAAGUUUGGGAAUGAAGGCUCUCUAGCCCUAUAUCAGAACAACUGAUUUAUCCCACAAAGAUCUACUGUGUCAUUUCACUCUGCUAGGCAGUGUGCUGGGGAUAUAAAAUGGACAUGGUUCCUUCAUGGUUCAGUGAAGGACAAAGGGAAGUUUGCAUGUAGCUCCUGGGAAGUGCUGAGGAAGCAGCACCAGGCCUGUGAAAGGCUCUGCAAUGAUUCCUUCCCACAACUCCCUGUAUCUGAAGAUACCAGCUGUCCACAGCACACCAGGCACAGGGCAGAGUGAGCUGAGGGAGACUUUGACUGAAUCCCAACUCUACCUUUUUCUAGCUAUGACUUUGCUGUUGUUUCUGCAUCCAUAAAAUGAAGAGUAAUUUUUCAAGAUUGUGAAGAUUGAGAUAAAAUAUGUAUAAAGUGUUUAGUACAUUCCUGGCACAUAGAGAUAUGGUAUUAUUAGACAUAAUUUUAAAAAUUAUAUAUAGAAAUCCUUUUACUGGCAAAUAAUCUGUUUAUUGGCAAUCAGUUCUUCAUAGGAAAAUACCACAUAACUUACUUUUCUUCUCAUUUUCAGUGACUGUUAUAUGGUAGGAACUCAGUAAACUUUUGUAUUCUGAGGAACUUCCAAACCUCUAUGGAGAAACUUUCAAAGAAAGCAACCAUUAGAAUGUUUUUGUUUUUUAAUUCUGAUUAAAAUCCAAAAUGCACAACUAAUGGACACAAGAAUAUACAGGAAAAGAAAUGAGGCCAAAAUUUGUAUUUGUUCAUGAAAGAUCUAAUUUGUUUUAAAAAAUGUAUUAUGCUACUCUUCCAUAUUGUUCAAAAAGAAUAUGAGUAUUUCAGAAAUUUGCAGCUAGAGGAAAGAAUUAAAAAAAAAAACUAUU